GCGCCGGAAGUGCUGAGGGCGGCACGCCGGGCAUCCAGUCCGGAAGGGACGGUUCAACUCCGAUCCCGGCGCU
rnacentral:tRNA from 1 species